GACGAACGCUGGCGGCGUGCUUAACACAUGCAAGUCGAGCGGUAAGGCCCUUUCGGGGGUACACGAGCGGCGAACGGGUGAGUAACACGUGGGUGACCUGCCCUCAGCUCUGGGAUAAGCCUGGGAAACCGGGUCUAAUACUGGAUAUGACUCCAUGACGCAUGUUGUGGGGUGGAAAGCCUUGUGCGGCUGAGGAUGGGCCCGCGGCCUAUCAGCUUGUUGGGGGGUGAUGGCCUACCAAGGCGACGACGGGUAGCCGGCCUGAGAGGGCGACCGGCCACACUGGGACUGAGACACGGCCCAGACUCCUACGGGAGGCAGCAGUGGGGAAUCUUGCGCAAUGGGCGGAAGCCUGACGCAGCGACGCCGCGUGGGGAUGACGGCCUGGUGU
rnacentral:rRNA from 1 species